GGGACGGUAGCUCAUGGGUCGAGCGGCGACGGUUUACCGACGCAGGCAGGCAGGUUCAAAUCCUGUACGUCCCA
rnacentral:tRNA from 1 species